GCCUCUAUUCGUUCGUCACGGCCGAUUCUCAUUCCCUUCACCGUUGAUUUGCGUUCAGGCCACUGUCACAGUCGACUUUCCAACCUCUAUUACUAUUUUUUCUUCUAGUCUUCGGUAUUUGUGUUCGCGUUCAUCAAUUCGUCCUUCACUUGUGUUCGUUGCAAGUUACUCUAGCACUUAUUUAUUGUCCUGCCUAAAUUUCUUGUCUGUCUUGAUACCAUUAUAAUCCUAGCUCUUGAAAUACUAUUCUGGAAAAAAUCAUGUACUGAGUACC
rnacentral:lncRNA from 1 species